UCAGAGUGAACCGAGUCGACUGAAACGCCGUGUGGACUCUUUAUACCGUUAGAGAAAUCUACACUCUUUAAAAAGAUGGUUCUUCGAGAGUUCUUUAGGAAAGACUGGUUUUAUAUAUAGGUUACCACUCAAAGAACCCUUUGUAUGCUUGAAUGAUUUUUUGUAUGGUGAAAUGGCUCUUCUGGUUAAUACAGAAUGUCUUGUGUGUGGCUCUAUAUAUACCCUUUUAGGUCCUACAUAGAAAUGAUUCUAUAUAAAACCAAUUACAGCGCACUCUCCAUUCAUUUGAAGAACCCUUUCAUGAGCAAAGAACCCUUAAAUCAUGCAAAGGGCUCUUUGAGUGUUCAUAAUUCUACGUAGAACCACUGUCUUGAAGAAGGAUUUUUUUUAAGUGUAGCUAACGGCCUUUUGAACAAGUUUUCUGUACCAAAUUCUUAGUUAGACGCUGAAAAAUAAAACAGUACAGCAGCUUAGAAUCACCGGUUUCAGUACACUCAAGACAAGAUGGUUCUUGAAGGGUUCUUUAGUAAAGGGAAUUCUCUCUAGAACCAUGAAAGGGUUCUCUGCAUGGUGAAAUGGUUCUUCAGAUUGAUUAAGUUGUUGUAGACGGUUCUGUAUAGCACCAAAUGGGUUCUGCUGUAGUUAUAAUGUCAAACCUGUAAGAAUAGAAUAACCCUUUAUAGUACCAUAUACAACACAUUGUCCUUCAGUCUGAAGAACAAUUUCACCAUGCAAAGAACCAUUUAAGCAUAAAGUGGUUCUAUUUAGAACUUAUGGUUCUUUUUUAAAGAGUAACUACACCCCAAUACCAUUUGCUGGAAUGCACUGUAAUAAUAAAACAUAACAGCCUUGCUUAAAAUGUGCACACAUCUUUCCAAACUGUAAAAAUAACAUGUUUAUCGAGGUCUGUUCCACCACUGGUGGUUCCACCCCUCUGGUUCAACUCUGCUGUAGGCGUGGAUGACGUGUCAUCGUCCCAAAGUAUGAUGACACGUCACAGUAUGCAAAUCAUUCAAUGUUAUGGCCCCCUGAUGAAGCCCCCCAUUCCCUAAAGCAGGGGGAGAAAUCUGGCACCGUUUUGGAUCAUUUUCUAUACGUAUCGUUUCAUCGCAUUUAGAUUGUUAUUCAGUGUUCUAGUUAGUUAGAACUGUUAGUUCUGAGUUAUUGUGUUUGCAGAUAUUGUAGUUUUCAGCCUUUUAGUCUUAGCUAGGUUAUGUUAGCUAGUUAGUUAGCUACCUAAGUUUACUAUUUAGUCUUUCAGAUUCAAGUUUGGUUUUUCCAAUUGUUCAGCAUUUUUGAAUUUAGUAAGUAAGUAAGUAAACAUUUAUUUAUAUAGCACUUUUCUAAGCACAGCUACAAAGUGCUUCACAAACAACAAGUACUAAAAAUAGAAUGAUAAAACAAAACAGAUACAGAAUUUAGCUUUUUCUGGUUGAGAUCAAUGCGUCCAGCGCUGGUCAGCCAGUGGUUACAUGUGAUCGGUCUGCAUGCCAGUACCAAGAUUGUCAGCAUGCAUGCUUGCAAUGCACACUCUGAUGAGGGGAGCUUUGCCAGCUUCGUGGAGGUCAAAUGUGUUAUCUGCCUGAACAACAUCUUUGCCUGAAGCCAGAUGGCGUCCCUUCAUCUGCAGAGCACGUAGCUAACAUUUCUGGCUAAGGCAAAAACCUGUAGAGACGCAACAUGUCAGACUGCUUCAACUGGCCUGCAUGAUGUCUUUGUCCAGGCACAUGUGAAGCCAUCCAGAAAGUUUAAAGCUGCAGGCUGUGUUGACAAACUCAUGGAUCUGCUGUGUGACCAUGUGGCAAAAUGACCUCAUCCCCAUCACAAGAUCUUAAGCCAGGUGCUUUUUCCUAAACACCUCUGUACUCCUUAUGUUUGACCCAACAAAGUGAGGCAGCAGCAAAUGCUUCAGGAACAACAAAUGCAGCUCAAACAAGAGCCUCCACCUGUCCUUUUGCCAAGGUAACCAAGCACCUGAUUAGUUGACCUAAAACUGUGUUUGCCAGCAAGAGCCUUUGCCUGUUUGCCAGCAAGAGCCCAGCCUUUUUUCAUUUUUGCAAACAAAUAAGUUUUGCAUAAGGACUCCAAACACUGUCUGAGACCUUACAGAAAAUCCUCAGGAACCUUCACUCAUGGUAGUGACUGCUGUUAGCAGUGGCAUGCCACCAUGGACCAUUUCAGCUGAGCUGGAGGAAACCAUGGUUGUAUAAAUAUUACCACAGAGAAGUGAGUGUCUGUUAGUGAGACAGAGAGACAAAUGACAGUAAAACCUCUAAUUAAUGCCAAAGCCUACAAUUGUUAAAAUAAACAUAUCCUCAAAAUCAAUUGUCUUGUGAUUUUGUAAAUUUAUUUGAUUAUUCUUUUGUAAAUGUGUUCUGAAUGUAGUUAUUAAUAAAUGUAACUAUGUAUGAGCAAAUUAUUUAAGAUCAAGCAGGAGAAGAAAUCCUGUGUAACCUCGAUAUUUCUCAUGAAAAUCCUCUCUAAAUCAGUAUCACUGGACAGAAGGGAAUAACAAGUACAUGUACAUGCUGAUCUAAAUACCCACCAGCACUGCCCCACAACGUUUUGUUAUGCGAAAUGGCAGCAUGCUAAAAAGCUAGAUUUUGAUGCUGAUAAUGCUAGAGACAAGCUGACGUAAGAUAACUAGACUGCAUAGAUUGGAUUAACUUUUUACCUUGCCCACCUCCCUCCAGCAAAUUUUCAGAAAAGUAGAGAGCUUAAAAUUUGACCAAAUUUAGACAGUGUUUAAAGCAGUCUACUUCAUUUAUUCAAAUUCAAUACAUCUAAGAAAUCAGAACCUGGGUUUCACUGAAUGUAUAUCUGAAUAUAUACUGAGUGUAUGUUUAGUUUAUUCAGCUAUUAGCUAUUUCUCUUUCCAGUUCAUAUUUGGAAACAAAGUUACAAAAACCUAUUUCGAUUUCAUUGUUUUUGUGAUGUCAUGAAAACGAAUGCUUUUUAAGCUAUACCCACUUUUUCAGCCUGCAGCUCUGCUCAUUCACUCUGAAGUCAUAAGAUGUUUUCCAGCCCAAACUGCUUUUUGAACAAGACGUGAUGCAGGGCAGCCAAUCAGAGGCUCAUUUACAUAUACCAGACGGGAUGGUAUUUUAUCAUUAUUGUGAUACCUUUUGUUGUCGUGAUAAACGGUACUCUUUUUUUGAGUAUAUUGUGGCUAUCUUCCUUCUUAAAUAACACUUGACCACCUUCACGUUUCAUUACAAGUAGAGCAUAACUAGUCUAAUGGGAUUUAGCACAGUGGACUAAACAUGUGUGACAUUAAAUAAUCAUUUUACUCAGUUUUUAAAAUAUGACACUACUAAUGCAUUCUAUGUGAUAGUUCACCUACCCCUGAUCAGUUGUAAAGAAACAGUAACAAAAACAGCUUGUUAAUUUUUUUAGUAAUCAAAAGUGGACAAUGUUGAUAAUGGAAAUUUCAAUUAUUAGUAGAAAAAUAUAUAAUGCAAGAGUAAUUUAGGGCCUUAAUGAAGGAUCUUUGAUUUCUGAAUUCUUUCCUGUAAACCAGAGAUCACUAAUAGGUGGACCGCUGUCCGAAUCAGGACCCCGACGUCCUAUGCGGACCUGGACCUAUAACCGAUAAACUAUGGAGAAUUAUUUAAUUUCGACGGGGUGGUCCAAUUUUAACCUGCAUGACCUCUCUAACCUUUAUGGUGCAGCUUUAGCAACCUGGAAGACUCACAGACCAAUUGCAGGCAUAGUAAAUAUCACACGUGAUGCUACUCAGCCAAUCAGAUCUGUGCAUUACAA